GUCUGUGGUGUGCUCAGAGUUAAAAAUGACUUCGCAUCUUCCCAUUUUCCACCUUAGUCUCCCUACUGUGAGAAUUGCUGGCCCUCCAAAGGAGCUGGCAGCUCACACACUACACAUGUGUUUGUAAGUUAGAAAGGAUUCUUCAUAUGCAGCACAGCCAUUUCAGAUCCCUGGGAGGAGUUCUGUACCUUCUCCUAUUGACAGCUACAUGUGCUUUCACAUACGGCCAAAUUGAGCCAAAAAAGAAACGCAGCUUAAAGUUCCAUUUAAUCUUCUGUGGGUGGCAAGAUUUAGGCGGUGUAGGUUCAGCGCUGAGCACAACUCAGCUCUCAGAAGGGCUGAAGGCCCCGCUCAGCAGAUGGUCACUCAGGGGUUACCUGCUGCUCUGGCACACAGGGGUCACUGCCCAGCACGGGGGACAGAUGGCACAGGGCAGGCACUGAGAACCCAUUGUGUGAGCAGCAGUCACUCGGGAGAAAGCUACACCUGCCAACAUCUGGAAUAGUUUAUCAAGUAUCAUUCAGAAAGCAACUAAAUAUUGCACGUGCCAUCUGAAGAGAGCUUUCUGAGCGGCGUUUGGAGAGAGACACCGCAAAUCCUUUCAAGUCCUUUAGUUGUAGAUUGUUCAUAUUAUAGGCUGCCAAUAACCAGGUGUAACUAUUUCUCAGCCCUGCUUGGGGAGGAUAGUUUCAGUUCAUGCUUGAAAUUAUGUAUUUUAACUAUUUCUGAUAUGUUCACCAAGGCAGACACGGUGGUCACCACAGCCUGGCUGCUCAGCUUUGAAGGCAGAAUUCCCUCAUGUCCUGCCCAGUGCUGCUGGAACCUGGAGAUCCCACCCCCGGAGCACAGAGCAUGGCACAGCUCUGGUACCCAGAGAACCAACACCUCAACAUUUCUGUCCUUGUGUUACUGGCAGAUGUAUUUAUAAUGCAGUAAUCUCAAAAUCACACUUCAAUUUUUUUAUAAGUGUAUAAAAGCACAACUAAUUCUCCUACACCUGGCCUUGGAUAGGUGCAUUUAAAAAUUUCUCUCAAUAUUAAAAGAAUUCGAACAGCUCUUUAUGAAACAUGGCAAUGCUGAUUUUGCUCUGUUAUCCAUAACCCCCUCCCCUCCAGCCCUUUUUACCUUCAUAAUGAUAGGCAACACAUUAAACUCCUAAAAUCAAUUCAGCUAAGGCAAAGGAGAUAUGGAUUAAAAACCAGCUAAGAUUUUGGAAACUGCAAGAAGAUGAAAAGGACAAAAGUCUGCUCAGCUAUGAAGAGCAGCUGCUGCCAAUACAAGUAUUUACCCCCUGACCCCUCCUCUGCCCACUCAGUGAACAGUGCCAAUUGUUUUCCUGUAUUAUACACUGUUUACAAGCCCUGAGUGGCAUGAAAGGAAUUAAUAAUUCAGCUCUUGGAGCUGAUGACCUUUAUUGGGGUACCCCUAUUUGCUGAGUAGGAACCAGAGCAAAAAAACCCCUUGAAGCCACAGGGUUUCUUUAAGAGUUUUUCACUUUACAGCCUAAUUGGCCACCAUAACAUAAAUCAAUUAUUUCUCCUGUUUUAAGCAACAAUGCUACCUAUUCUCAACCACUCAAUUUCUUACUUCUCUUGUAUCAAGCCAGGCCUUGUUCUUUGACUUUUACAAUGGUCUGGUAAACACACCGGCAAGGCCAGCUUGGAGAGCUUCGCAGGAUCAGGAACAUUUGGGAACACCAGCAAAAAGAGGUUAUGCUAUUUUGAACUUCUCUUGACCUUUGCCUGCCCUUGUCCCUGGUUAUGCUAAUUGAAGGGGUAUAUGGGCUACUCCCAGAAAUGAACUUAGCCUGAACCUGUGACACAGCAUUGGACUUUGCAGAUGAGUUUGGGACCCCCUCCCCAAAGGCUGUCAUCUCCCAUACAGGAAGGGAGAGCAGGUAAAACACAGUCCCCUGAGCACUGCAGGGAGACCCAGGAUGAGAGGGAGCAGAACGUGCUGCCUCAGUGAGUCACAUCAUCUUCCCCCGUGUCUGAGCAGCUGCCAGGGAUCAAUUCAUGGACCCCUGAGGCAGAAAGGCAGCGGAGCUUGUGGGGCUGCAGACAGAAGGACAUGGUCACAGCACAGCCUCCACAGGCACAGGGUAUUCCAGAUGUGACUCUGCCAUGUCCCACAGGAGGCACUCAGUGCUCCUCUCAACCUCCUGGCUCUCAGACCAGCACAUGAUGGGCUGUCACCACCACAAGCACUUCCCUGACUCAUUGUGAGGUUCUCCAGGACCCCAGGUCAUCCCUGCUCCCCAGCCUGUACCAUUCCAUGGGGUUACUGCAUUCCAGAUGCAGGACUCGGUGUUUGUCUCUGCUUAACUUUGAAGUUUCAAUCAACCCUUUCCUUCAGGUACAGCAGCUGUGCCCUCAUUGUUGUGUCAUCUGCAGGUCUGAUGAGUGUGUCCAUCCCAUCAUCCAGAUGGUUGACGAAAUUGCUAAAUAGUAUUGGCCCUAAUAUUGACUCCCAAGGACAACCACAGCAUACCAGGCCAGCAGUGAGUGCUUGAACCCUUGACUGCCACCCCUGGAACAACACAGCCCAGUUUUUCACCCAGUUUGCCUACAAGGAUGAUAUGGGAGAGACUGUGUCAAAAGCUCUGCCUAAGGUUAGUGACACAAUUACUCUCUCCUCAUUCAUGGAUCCAGUCAUUUCAUGGCAGUAGGAAUGAGGCUGGUCAGGCAUUAUCUCCCCUUGGUAAACCUGCAGUGACUGUUCCCAAUUACCUUCCUAUUCUUCAAGUGCCUGGAAACGUCUUUUGGGAGGAUUUGCUCCAUACCCUUCCCACUGAAGGAAUGAGACGAGGAUGACCAGCCUGCAGUUCCUCAGAGCAGCUACUACUGAGCAGAGCCGAGUUAAAGAAAACAAUCCCAGCUCCUGCUUACCAACAAAACUGAAAGGAAACCUACACAGAGUUGAAUGUUCCAUGUACCUGCACUGCGUUCCUCAAUAAACACUCCACAGACA